AGAAUCAACGCUGGCGGCGUGCCUAACACAUGCAAGUCGCACGAGAAAGGGGCUUCGGCUCUGAGUAAAGUGGCGCACGGGUGAGUAACACGUGACUAAUCUACCCUCGAGUGGGGAAUAACUGAGAGAAAUCUUAGCUAAUACCACAUAACACUUACGAGUCAAAGCAGCAAUGCGCUUGGGGAGGAGGUCGCGGCCGAUUAGCUAGUUGGCGGGGUAAUGGCCCACCAAGGCGAUGAUCGGUA
rnacentral:rRNA from 1 species